UGGCUAGCUUGUCAUGGAACUGCUGCCAUUACUUUUUGCCGUUCAACCGUCUUCAAUUGAAUUCCUUGAAUCGUGGAACGCGAUAGGGCUACUCAAUAACUGCUUAAUGAACCGCACCUUUGGGUAACCAUAACAUCUUAUGUUUGCUAAGAUCCUGGGCGACUCGAAAGUUUGGGCGAGAACAGAGUCACAAUUCUGGGCGACUGCAUGGCAAUCCAAUCGCUCAAAUCUUGGGCGACUUGUAAUCUUGGACGAUGGUAUUAACGCGGUCAUGGGCUUCCCUAUUUGGGCCUUUAUCCUGCAUUACCUGAUUGGGUCGUUCUUUGGGCUAUCUGAUUUGGGGAUCCUCCAAUUGAGUUUCAUUCCUUGAGCUAUUCGAUUUGGGCUGAACUUUUGUGUGUCAACACUUCCCAUCGAUGUUUUCUGUCAUGGAGUGUGCUUUUUGGAUUAUGAUGAAUUCAGCAUAAUUGAUCACAUAUAACCUAUAGUCGCAGUUGAGGUGAAUGCGAAAAAAAUUACAAGUUGCAGGGUAUUAAGCCAAGUGCAUGAAUAUAACUAGUGGAUACACAUGUAAUGGUCGACAAAUUUAUAAACACCUGAUACGUAUCAUAUAUGAUAAGGGCAAUGUUCAAAUCGUAUUAACCAAUUAAGCUGAAAUGUAACAUUUAAAACCUAACAGACAAUUUAGAUGAAAUGUGAAAUCUAACAUUUUCACCACGGCUCUUCAGUUCUUGAGGUGUAAGAAAGAGGGGUAUAUAGCAAAAGAGGUAGGCAUGACUCGACCUGAUUUGUUGGAUGCUUAGAAUUUGUGCUUCAACCUUGAUCUGAAAAUAUACUAGUAUUUGUGAGUUUUUUGGAGGUGAUUAUUGGAUGAAUAGAAGCACCAUGGUUUUAUAUUAACAAUAUAUCCCUUGAAUCACCCAAGAUAAUAUGAGAAUAACAGGAAAUAUUUACGAGAUAUAAUGUUUUGUGAAUCUCCAAAUUCGAAGAUAUUGAUUCUAAAUAUGGAUUAUGGUUUUCUUGAAAUGAAAUAUAGAAGGAUAUGAUGAUUUUUGGCGAUUUUGGUGAGCUGGUGAUUUGGGGCAUGGAGUAAUAG
rnacentral:lncRNA from 1 species